rnacentral:rRNA from 1 species
GACGAACGCUGGCGGCGUGCUUAACACAUGCAAGUCGAACGGAAAUGCCCUGCUUUUGUGGUGUGCUCGAGUGGCGAACGGGUUAGUAACCCGUGAGUAACCUGCCCUUUACUUUGGGAUAACUUCAGGAAACUGGGGCUAAUACCGGAUCGGAGCUCCUGCUGCAUGGUGGGGGUUGGAACGUUUGGGGGGUUGGGGAUGGACUCGCGGCUUAUGAGCUUGUUGGUGGGGUAGUGGCUUACCAAGGCUUUGACGGGUAGCCGGCCUGGGAGGGUGACCGGGCACAUGGGGACUGAGGGACGGCCCAGACUCCUACGGGAGGCAGCAGUGGGGAAUAUUGCACAAUGGGCGGGAGCCUGAUGCAGCAACGCCGCGUGCGGGAUGACGGCCUUCGGGUUGUAAACCGCUUUCGCCUGUGACGAAGCGUGAGUGACGGUAAUGGGUAAAGAAGCACCGGCUAACUACGUG